AUUGAACGCUGGCGGCAGGCCUAACACAUGCAAGUCGAGCGGAUGAGUGGAGCUUGCUCCAUGAUUCAGCGGCGGACGGGUGAGUAAUGCCUAGGAAUCUGCCUGGUAGUGGGGGACAACGUUUCGAAAGGAACGCUAAUACCGCAUACGUCCUACGGGAGAAAGUGGGGGAUCUUCGGACCUCACGCUAUCAGAUGAGCCUAGGUCGGAUUAGCUAGUUGGUGAGGUAAAGGCUCACCAAGGCGACGAUCCGUAACUGGUCUGAGAGGAUGAGCAGUCCCACUGGGACUGAGACACGGUCCAAGCGCCUACGGGAGGCAGCAGUGGGGAAUAUUGGACAAUGGGCGAAAGCCUGAUCCAGCCAUGCCGCGUGUGUGAAGAAGGUCUUCGGAUUGUAAAGCACUUUAAGUUGGGAGGAAGGGCAGUAAGUUAAUACCUUGCUGUUUUGACGUUACCAACAGAAUAAGCACCGGCUAACUCUGUGCCAGCAGCCGCCGUAACAC
rnacentral:rRNA from 1 species